rnacentral:rRNA from 1 species
UACGUAGGGUGCAAGCGUUGUCCGGAAUUAUUGGGCGUAAAGAGCUCGUAGGCGGUCUGUCGCGUCUGCUGUGAAAACUCAGGGCUUAACCCUGAGCUUGCAGUGGGUACGGGCAGACUAGAGUGCGGUAGGGGAGACUGGAAUUCCUGGUGUAGCGGUGAAGUGCGCAGAUAUCAGGAGGAACACCGGUGGCGAAGGCGGGUCUCUGGGCCGUAACUGACGCUGAGGAGCGAAAGCCAGGGGAGCAAACGGG